ensembl:snRNA U6 U6 spliceosomal RNA
GUGCCUGCUUUGGCAGCACAUAUACUAAAAUUGGAUCUAUACAGAGAAGAUUAGCAUGGCCCCUGCACAAGGAUGACGCACAAAUUCAUCGAGUGUUACAUAUUUUU